rnacentral:rRNA from 1 species
GAUGAACGCUGGCUACAGGCUUAACACAUGCAAGUCGAGGGGAAACGACGGGGAAGCUUGCUUCCCCGGGCGUCGACCGGCGCACGGGUGAGUAACGCGUAUCCAACCUGCCCCUGACUGAGGGAUAACCCGUCGAAAGUCGGCCUAAUACCUCAUGGCAUCGUCUGCGGGCAUCCAACGACGAUUAAAGAUUUCAUCGGUCAGGGAUGGGGAUGCGUCUGAUUAGCUUGUUGGCGGGGUAACGGCCCACCAAGGCUACGAUCAGUAGGGGUUCUGAGAGGAAGGUCCCCCACAUUGGAACUGAGACACGGUCCAAACUCCUACGGGAGGCAGCAGUGAGGAAUAUUGGUCAAUGGGCGGGAGCCUGAACCAGCCAAGUAGCGUGCAGGAUGACGGCCCUAUGGGUUGUAAACUGCUUUUAUGCGGGGAUAAAGUGAGGGACGUGUCCUUCAUUGCAGGUACCGCAUGAAUAAGGACCGGCUAAUUCCGUG